AUUGAACGCUGGCGGCAGGCUUAACACAUGCAAGUCGAACGAUGAAACUCUAGCUUGCUAGAGAAGAUUAGUGGCGGACGGGUGAGUAACAUUUAGGAAUCUGCCUAGUAGUGGGGGAUAGCUCGGGGAAACUCGAAUUAAUACCGCAUACGACCUACGGGUGAAAGGGGGCGCAAGCUCUUGCUAUUAGAUGAGCCUAAAUCAGAUUAGCUAGUUGGUGGGGUAAAGGCCUACCAAGGCGACGAUCUGUAACUGGUCUGAGAGGAUGAUCAGUCACACCGGAACUGAGACACGGUCCGGACUCCUACGGGAGGCAGCAGUGGGGAAUAUUGGACAAUGGGGGCAACCCUGAUCCAGCCAUGCCGCGUGUGUGAAGAGGGCCUUUUGGUUGUAAAGCACUUUAAGCAGGGAGGAGAGGCUAAUGGUUAAUACCCAUUAGAUUAGACGUUACCUGCAGAAUAAGCACCGGCUAACUCUGUGCCAGCAGCCGCGGUAAUACAGAGGGUGCGAGCGUUAAUCGGAAUUACUGGGCGUAAAGCGAGUGUAGGUGGCUCAUUAAGUCACAUGUGAAAUCCCCGGGCUUAACCUGGGAACUGCAUGUGAUACUGGUGGUGCUAGAAUAUGUGAGAGGGAAGUAGAAUUCCAGGUGUAGCGGUGAAAUGCGUAGAGAUCUGGAGGAAUACCGAUGGCGAAGGCAGCUUCCUGGCAUAAUAUUGACACUGAGAUUCGAAAGCGUGGGUAGCAAACAGGAUUAGAUACCCUGGUAGUCCACGCCGUAAACGAUGUCUACUAGCCGUUGGGGUCCUUGAGACUUUAGUGGCGCAGUUAACGCGAUAAGUAGACCGCCUGGGGAGUACGGCCGCAAGGUUAAAACUCAAAUGAAUUGACGGGGGCCCGCACAAGCGGUGGAGCAUGUGGUUUAAUUCGAUGCAACGCGAAGAACCUUACCUGGUCUUGACAUAGUGAGAAUCCUGCAGAGAUGCGGGAGUGCCUUCGGGAACUCACAUACAGGUGCUGCAUGGCUGUCGUCAGCUCGUGUCGUGAGAUGUUGGGUUAAGUCCCGCAACGAGCGCAACCCUUUUCCUUAUUUGCCAGCGGGUUAAGCCGGGAACUUUAAGGAUACUGCCAGUGACAAACUGGAGGAAGGCGGGGACGACGUCAAGUCAUCAUGGCCCUUACGACCAGGGCUACACACAUGCUACUAUGGUAGGUACAGAGGGUUGCUACACAGCGAUGUGAUGCUAAUCUCAAAAAGCCUAUCGUAGUCCGGAUUGGAGUCUGCAACUCGACUCCAUGAAGUCGGAAUCGCUAGUAAUCGCAGAUCAGAAUGCUGCGGUGAAUACGUUCCCGGGCCU
rnacentral:rRNA from 1 species